UUUGAAAGAAAGUGACUAUAUUUGUAGUCUUCAUUUCAAAGAACAGCAUAUAAACUUAUACAAGCAGUUGACAAUUAAAGGAGAACUUAAAUAUAUUCCGCUUGAGAGAAAAACGCUGAAGGAAGAAGCUUACCCCACUGUUGAUCAUCAGUUUAUUCCUAACCCAGAUUAUAAUAUUCAUAAUAUUAUGGAUAUACAGGAAUCUUUUGAACCACCCCCUAAUCAACCACAGCAAAUCAAUGCGGAAUACAUUCCGCUUAGCAGAAAUACGCCGAAGGAAGAAGUUUACCCCACAGUUGAUCAUCAGUUUAUUCCUAACACAGAUUAUAAUAUUCAUAAUAUUAUGGAUAUACAGGAAUCUUUUGAAGCACACCCUAAUCAACCACAGCAAAUCAAUGCCGAAUACAUUCCGCUUAGCAGAAAUACGCCGAAGGAAGAAGUUUACCCCACAGUUGAUCAUCAGUUUAUUCCUAACACAGAUUAUAACAUUCAUAAUAUUAUGGAUAUACAGGAAACUUUUGAACCACACCCUAAUCAACCACAGCAAAUCAAUGCCGAAUAUAUUCCGCUUAGCAGAAAGACGCCGAACGAAGAAACUUACCCCACAGUUGAACUUCAGUUUAUUGCUAAUCCAGAUUUUAACAUUCAUAAUGAUAUGAAUAUACAGGAAUCCUAUGAAUAUGAAUCACACCCUAAUCAACCACAGCAAAUCAAUGCCGAAUAUAUUCCGCUUAGCAGAAAGACGCCGAACGGAGAAACUUACCCCACAGUUGAACUUCAGUUUAUUGCUCACCCAGAUUUUAAUAUUCAUAAUGAUAUGAAUAUACAGGAAUCCUAUGAACCACGUCCCAAUGAACCACAACAAAUCAAUGCCGAUUAUUCUAAUCAAUUAAUGGAUUGCGAAGUGAUACAACAUGAGCUAGCAGAACCAUUGUUGAGUCAAUGUCAGGACAACGACAUAAAAAUAAACCCAAUGGAUGUAUUUAAAAGUAAUUUUCGGACAUUUUCGUUAUUGCCGCCUUUUUGGCUACACGCAGAAAAUUCGGAUGGGGUAGAAUUUAUGCGAAUUGAUCCAACGACGCGGCAGAUUAAACAUCACUUACGUUUAAACGCUGAUCAAUCAGUCACUAAUAUCCGACUGAGAGACAAAAUUUCUGUGGCAAAGUCGCAGUGUGCAAUAAAAUCGGAAACCGUAUUACAAGCAGCGAUUUCAAAAUUACCGGAAGAAUUCCAUAAUGCUGUGAGAGAAUGUUUUGAAGCGGCCAAAAAGAGAAAUUCAAAAGGUCGUCGGUAUACCUUAGAAUGGAUUUACGAAUGCUUGCUUAUACGUCUCAAAAACAGGAAUACGUAUGAAUUUAUACGUAAGAGAAAUAUCUUACCACUUCCUUCUACACAAACACUGAAUAAAUUUAUCAGGAAAAUCAGCUCCUCAGCAUAUGGAUUCCAACCAUCAACUUUCUUUAGUUUAAAAGAAAGAUGUGAGGCGAUGGACAAAGGGCAGAAACGAGGAGUGAUCUUAGUUGACGAAAUGAAGUUGAGUGAAGGCGUCCACUUCGAUCCAUCAACGAUGAAAUUUAAUGGUUUUGUUGACUUGGGGCAACACACACCAGACAACUUAAAAAAUACAACCGCGGACCAUGCCUUGGUGUUUAAGUAUGUGCCUUUUCAAGGUAGAUGGCUUCAGGCAUUAGGUUGCUUUCUGUCCAGAAAUUCCUGUAAAAGCCAACCGCUUCAUAAAUUAAUUUUGGAGUGCAUAGUACUAAUGGAAAACAGCGGACUUUGUGUCGAUGCUGUAGUAAUGGACGGUGCGCCGUGGAAUCGGGGAGUCUGGAAAAUUUUCGGAGUCAGUGAGGAUGACAUCAGCUGCGAACAUCCCUGUGACAGCUCUCGUCGGCUAUGGAUGAUUUCUGACUUUAAUCAUCUGAUAAAAUGCUUUCGAACAUCGACUUUACAUGAUAAGAUACAAGAGUUCAAGACCCCUUACGGAAUUGUUAAAAAAGACACUGGGAAGCCGUAUUGGAAGAGGAGAACUACUGCCAACCGAAUCUGAAAAUUGCUUAUAAGUUAACGCCGGCGCAUUUAAAACCUAAAGGUUUUCAAACAAUGAACGUUCCUUUGGCGACAGAAUCCAUACUGGAUUUUUUACAAUUUCUCGGAGAUUGGGAAAAAUUAGAAAAAAAAAUACCAGUGUCGAGAAGUACGAUAACCGGACUAAACGUAACAUUGCGCGCAACGCUGGAAAUUUUGGACAUGCUUAAUGCCACAUGCAACUACAAAUAUUUGAUGACAGCAAAUCUGUCCCAAGAUCCGUUGGAGAGAUUUUUUUCUGUCAUGAGAUAUUCAUGUGGAGGAAAUGAUCACCCAGAUCCAAAAUUAUUCGGACAAGUCUACCGAUUAGCGUCUUGCUUUUCACUAGUAAAACCUCCGAAAGGGUGCAAUGUUUCUGGAACGGAUUUACUGAAAAGCAUUCUCAAUGCUAAGGAUUUAGUCAAUAAUGAUUCAAACCAAGAUAAACAAAUGUGGCUCGAAAGCCUGGACAAUUUACUGGACAAUACCGAGCCUUUGGUUGACGGUUCCAGUACUGAAAAAGACCAUGAUUACAACGUAUCUGUGACCAGUGACGCUGUACAAUCGUACAUUGCUGGCUACAUAGUACGAAAGUUGCGUAAGAUCUUAAAGUGUACUAAUUGUGUUAAACUCUUACAAAUGAGACCAAGUGAGGGUAAACUCUUAGUACGGAGCGAUGUCAUAAACAAGAUGGACCUAUACGGAGGAUUAAUUUUUCCUAGUGAUGAAUUAUUUAAUCUCACUAAAAUAAUAGAACAAAGUGUAUUGAGAGCAAUAAGCAAAACUUUGACCAAUAUGGAGACGAUCAGUCAAAUUACUGUCGAACUGCAAAAGGAGACCUUCGUUAAAGUGGGUUGUGUUGAGCAUUGCAAAAUAUUGACAAAAAAAAUUAUUGAUAUGUAUGUGGUUAUGCGAGCCCACUUUCUCGCAAAAUACGAGAACAAGCGCUACGAUGCAGCUAAAACUAAAACAAAAAUGAACCGAAAAAAUGCAAAAUUACUGUCAUGAAGUAUUAGUAUCUUCAGCUCAAGUACGCCUCCCAUAUAUUAAUCUUGUUUUUCACUGAUAAGCCUUCCAAAUGGAUGCAAUUAUUCCGGCAAAGAUUUGCUCGAAAACAUACUAAUUCAUAUUUGUUUAAACGAGGAUAAACAAGCAUGGCUUGAAAGUCUGGAGAAUUUACUGGCUGGACAAUGCUGACUGACUGGGCACUACUGAUAAAGGCCGCCACGAUUGUAACGAAUCGGCGAAGAAAAGCAAAACUUUGACCAAUCCGGUAACAAUCAGUCAGGUUACUGUUGUACUACCAAAGGAGUCCUUGAUAAGUUGGUUGUGUUGGCCAUUCUAAACACAUAGCAAAAAAAAUAAGUAUGUGAUUAUCCUAGCCCACUUUCUUGCGAAAUAUGAAAAUAAGUGCUACGAUACAGCCAAAACCAGUAAAAUAAACAGAAAAUGAAUGCUGAGUCAUACAUACAUAUAAUUACGCCUAUAUCCCACAAAGGGGUAGGUAUAUAGGAUAUAUAUUAAAAAAAAAAACAUUUAUUUCAGGAAACACAGAGAUGUAGAUCACAUGAAACUAUUUAGUUUUCAGUGCCAUUCUUGGCAAACAAGAGGUUUACAGAAAACGAAAGCAUAGAACAUGGUCUCGAUUUCCUACAGGGCGCGUAGCGUAGACAUGGUGCCAAUCGUUCACGCUUCUUGGCGUAUCAUAGUUGUCCACGGCCGAUGAGAAGAUACAGAAUUACAGAGUGAACAAAGUUAUAAGUGGUGAGAGGAGCAUAGCUCAAGUUGCAGCGCGAACGGGAGCGGCAGCGCGAACGGGAGCGGCAGCUCGGAGCCAGGCGAGGAGCUCACGAGGAGCCAGUGCCUCGAGCUGCCUUUGUGAGAACUAUAGCCUCUUCAAAGUGUUCUUGAAAGACUUGAAAGCCCUUUAAAGAAGCAUAUAAUAUAUGCUUCUUUCCAUAUUAUGAAAAAGCUUAUGAAAUACUUGCAUACAUUUGUACGAAAUGAAGAAGAGAGAGUAAAAACCUGAAAGUUUUUUGAUCAUGAACGAAUUCAUUUCACAUCCUUUUGUAAUUUUCAAUGAGCCAAUCGUUCACGUUCCAGUCGAAGUGGAAAUAUACCUUGACUAUUAGGGCCAGUUGCACCAACCACAUUUGACAGACACAUCAUCGUCACUCAGAAGAUUUCUAUGGAACUUCUCAUACAAUAAAAUUUAACGAACGCUUUAACGGUGCCAGACGGUUUGGUGCAACCGGCCCUUAUUCCUUCAAAAACAUUACAUAAUACGCUGUUUAUUAAAUAUAGCAGAUAUAUGCCACUCAGCACGUAAUUCGAAAUUUCAUUUCAUUUAAUAACUAUAUUACAUUGUAUGUAAGUUUUAUUACUAAUACCUCGUGCUGUGUCGCACUAUGUGGACCGAGCACCUGUGUUGGGUAUUUUCAU